GAUGAAGAACGUAGCGAAAUGCGAUACUUGGUGUGAAUUGCAGAAUCCCGUGAACCAUCGAGUCUUUGAACGCAAGUUGCGCCCGAAGCCAUUAGGCCGAGGGCACGUCUGCCUGGGCGUCACACGUCGUUGCCCCCCCAUCUACUCCUUCGGGAUUGCGGGGGGCGGAUGAUGGCCUCCCGUGCGCCUCGUCGCGCGGUUGGCAUAAAUGCCAAGUCCUCGGCGACGCACGCCACGACAAUCGGUGGUUGCGAAACCUCGGUUGCCCGUCGUGUGCGGUCGUCGCGCAUCGAGGGCUCGAAAAAAUUGUCGGGCUCCGGCUCGGCUUUCAACGCGACCCCAGGUCAGGCGGGGUUACCCGCUGAAUUUAAGCAUAUCAAUAAGCGGAGGA
rnacentral:misc_RNA from 1 species